rnacentral:rRNA from 1 species
GGAUGCCGCUAGAGGUUUUGAUAUCAUGGCUCCAGAUGGACGCUGGCGGCAGGCCUUAACCACAUUGCAAGUCGAGCGGAUGAAGGGAAGCUUGCCUCUUGAAUUCAGCGCGGACGGGUGAGUAAUGGCUUAGGAUUCUGCCUUGGUAGGUGGGGGGAUAACGUCCGGAAACGGGCGCUAAUACCGCAUACGUCCUGAGGGAGAAAGUGGGGGAUCUUCGGACCUCACGCUAUCAGAUGAGCCUAGGUCGGAUUAGCUAGUUGGUGGGGUAAAGGCCUACCAAGGCGACGAUCCGUAACUGGUCUGAGAGGAUGAUCAGUCACACUGGAACUGAGACACGGUCCAGACUCCUACGGGAGGCAGCAGUGGGGAAUAUUGGACAAUGGGCGAAAGCCUGAUCCAGCCAUGCCGCGUGUGUGAAGAAGGUCUUCGGAUUGUAAAGCACUUUAAGUUGGGAGGAAGGGCAGUAAGUUAAUACCUUGCUGUUUUGACGUUACCAACAGAAUAAGCACCGGCUA